CACCUCCCGUCCAGCUAGAGGAGGGGAGGAUACGGGACUCUUCCCCUGCCGCGUGUCACUCCCCCGCGGGGCGGCCCGGGCGCGAAACCCUAGCCACAGCAGGAAGCCCAACCCCACCACCCCUUCCCCCGCGGGGCGGCCCGGGCGCGAAACCCUAGCCACCGCAGGAAGCCCAACCCCACCACCCCUUCCCCCGCCGCAACCGGUGAGCAUCGCUGGGCAAAGCCCGCGCGACGUCAGCUACGGCGGGCCUGUUUCUUCCCUCGAGCCUGGAGUAGGAGUUGUGCGGGGCUGCUCAUCUGGGCUGAGGAGGCACAGGACGGCGCGGGAUUUAGGACGCGUGUGCGGCCUUGCGUGCGCUGGAGGCGGGACUACGCGGCCUGGCGCAAUCUGGAGGCGGGGCGGGGUGGCACGGUCUAGCUCGCUGUGGCUGGAGGGUGCGUGUGUGGAGUCUGGGCACUGGCGCGGCGGCCCCAGCGGAUCUCAACGGGUAUGUGCUUUCACGGUUGCGAGGGCAGCUUGGGAGUCGGCGAUGGAAUACGGUGGCGGCGGAUCUGGGGUUCUCUUUGCCUAGAUCCAUUUGCCGCGGAUGGUGGUGGCUCGGGCGCCGACCGGCGGCCUGGACGACGAUGGAUCUCUCCACCGACAUGGUUGGGGAAGGCCGGAGAUGCAGGUGCGUGGUGGGUCUGGGCAUGGACCAGAUUUGGUCGUCCCUGACUCGCGAUCGGCGUGGCUGGGUGUGGCAGCAUGUUGCGGUGGCCGAGGAUCCGUCCCGGGCUUGGUCUCCGUGGCAUCUGGCGCAACAGUGGUGGUGGUGUUCGUGUAGUGAUGAUGGAUUUUGUGCUACAAGAUGUGCUCUCCUCCCGCUGCGGUGGUCGGCUUGUUCAAGAAGCUUCAGUGGACUUUGGGAUUCGUGGUCUGGGGUUAGGAGAAAUCCUUGCUUCGGGUUUCUGAGGCUGACAAUGGCGACGCCCGUGGGUGCCGUUCCCUUCCUGGAGGCGUUGUCUUGACCUUGAUUCGUCCCCCUCUCGUGCUCAGGGGAAACCCUUGGUCCGACCUUCGGACUGGGUGAUGGCGGCGUCACGACGUCGUCGUUUCCUCCUUGGAGGCAUCGUCUUGUAGCUCAAGGAGUCCCGUUAGUGUGGCUCGAGCCGGUAUCGACAAUUGCUCUGGGUGUGAGCCUUCGAGGCGCAAUGAACAUCAUCACCUACGCUCUCUCGACAACGCCUUAUCUAGGUCCGCCCGGACCUUGCCAUCCACCUGCCGACUUUCUCUUGGCGUAAUGGGUCGGGUACGUUGGUUUGUCUUGCCCUCGGGUUUUGGUCAUGUUGUAGAGGUCGUAGGCGUUGGUUGUGAGGCGGCUUGGUUGCUCUGUGUGGGUGCUAAUGUUCGUGAUUAGGGUUGUAAUGGUUGUAAGGCGUUGUAACCUGCUUCUUUACCGCUUCUUCUCUCAUGCAAUGAUACGCAUGCUUAUGCGUAUUUUAAAACAAAUAAGUUGGCCACUACUCUGAUGGUAACCUGCUUCUUUACCGCUUCUUCUCUCAUGCAAUGAUACGCAUGCUUAUGCGUAUUUUAAAACAAAUAAGUUGGCCACUACUCUGAUGAGGAGGAGAAAAGUCGUCUAGGCCACUAUUUCUCGGUUCCUAAAGGAUGUCUGAGAUCCGUCAUCACAGGAGUCGAUCGCUGUAGAUCCUAGCAUGGUGCCUUAUUUGUUACUCCAGAUGGCAUCCGUUGGUGGCGCCGUGUGCGACGUAAGUUCGCGCCACAUGUUCGCGACGUCACCACAUUAGCUAUGCCCCUCAGAGGGCCCCAUUCAUAGUAGUGUGGUUGGCAUGCAUGGUCCAAAACUAUAACCUUAGUUGCCAUUAAUGAGCAAUAUAUGGGAGUACAUAGACUCAAUUAAUAGAAGUGCAUAUAAAACCAUAUGUAUAAGUCACAAAUGACCAUGAGUAGAUUUUUUUCUUAAAAUACAAUAAUUUAUUGUUAUAUUUACAUUAAUUUUUAAAUGUUUUUUUGCCUCAAAGGAAUAUGAGUGAUGAAUUUAGAGGAUGAUUCGGGAAGGAGUAGUUGCAUGGAAAGUACAACACUCUAAGACACUGAUAAAUUUCACGUCGAAAUCAGAUGGCCUGCACCACAUAGGAAGAGCCAACCUCCACAACAAUGAGGAUCGAUGUGUUACUGUCCCCAUACUGCUCGACGAGGAGGUACUGCCAUCGGCUUCAGGUCUUUUACGGCAACCAACAAUACAUGUCGGCUAUUAUAUUUGUACUGAACUUUCAUAUUUCCUUAUAAUUCAUUUACUUAAAUGCAUAUGCUUGACUAUUAUGUAUUUAUAUUAAACAACAUAUAUAAUAG
rnacentral:lncRNA from 1 species